rnacentral:rRNA from 1 species
UACAGAGGGUGCGAGCGUUGUUCGGAAUUAUUGGGCGUAAAGGGCGCGUAGGCGGUGCGGUAAGUCACCUGUGAAAUCUCCAGGCUCAACUCGGAGCCUGCUAGGGAAACUGCCGUGCUUGAGUGUGGGAGAGGUGAGUGGAAUUCCCGGUGUAGCGGUGAAAUGCGCAGAUAUCAGGAAGAACACCAAUGGCGAAGGCAGCUCUCUGGGACGGUACUGACACUGAGACGCGAAAGCGUGGGGAGCGAACAGG